ACAUACCCUCAGGUCGGGAAUAGCCAUGGGAAACUGUGGGUAAUGCCCGAUAACCUCUGUGGAGCAAAGGUGUGAUUCCGCCUGAGGAGUGGCUUACGUGAUAUUAGCUAGUUGGUGGGGUAAUGGCCUACCAAGGCAAUGAUGUCUAGGGGGUGUGAGAGCAUGGCCCCCACGACCGGAACUGAGACACUGUCCGGACACCUACGGGUGGCUGCAGUCGAGAAUCUUCCGCAAUGGACGAAAGUCUGACGGAGCGACGCCGCGUGCGGGAUGAAGGCCCCUGGGUUGUAAACCGCUGUCAGAGGGGACGAAAUCAUGGUUGGCAAUCCUUCCAUGUUGACAGAGCCUCAGAGGAAGCACGGGCUAAGUACGUGCCAGCAGCCGCGGUAACACGUACUGUGCGAACGUUAUUCGGAAUCACUGGGCCUAAAGGGUGCGUAGGCGGUUUAUCAAGUCAGAUGUGAAAUGCCAGAGCUCAACUGUGGCACUGCGUUUGAAACUGAUAGGCUAGAGUAUUCCAGGGGUGUGCGGAACUUAUGGUGGAGCGGUGAAAUGCGUUGAUAUCAUGAGGAACACCGGAGGCGAAGGCGGCACACUGGGGGAUUACUGACGCUGAGGCACGAAAGCCAGGGUAGCGAACGG
rnacentral:rRNA from 1 species